CAUUAAGAAGUCUGUGAGGAAAGCGAAAAUAAAGGCUUGACUCAAAAAGAGGAAAGCGUAAUAUACGCCACCUCGCGACGGUGAGCUGAAAGCCGCGUCGCACCUGCUCUUUAACAAUUUAUCAGACAAUCUGUGUGGGCACUCGAAGAUACGGAUUCUUAACGUCCUCGGACGAAAAAUCUUUGUGAUUCAUGACUGGGGUGAAGUCGUAACAAGGUAACCGUAGGGGAACCUGCGGUUGGAUCACCUCCUUACCUUAAAGAACUGUUCUUUGCAGUGCUCACACAGAUUGUCUGAUGAAAAGUGAAUAGCAAGGCGUCUUGCGAUUGAGACUUCAGUGUCCCCUUCGUCUAGAGGCCCAGGACACCGCCCUUUCACGGCGGUAACAGGGGUUCGAAUCCCCUAGGGGACGCCACUUGCUGGUUUGUGAGUGAAAGUCACCUGCCUUAAUAUCUCAAAACUGACUUACGAGUCACGUUUGAGAUAUUUGCUCUUUAAAAAUCUGGAUCAAGCUGAAAAUUGAAACACAGAACAACGAAAGUUGUUCGUGAGUCUCUCAAAUUNUGAGGGAAAGGCGAAAAGAACCCCGGCGAGGGGAGUGAAAAAGAACCUGAAACCGUGUACGUACAAGCAGUGGGAGCCCCACCACUAAGCCAGUGGUGAACUCCACAUACGCAUCCUUUGCUGAGGAUACGGUUAACGGAGCGAAAGCGACGUUCAACCUCAAAAGAAGCAGAGGGGGCUUAGUGGUGGGGUGACUGCGUACCUUUUGUAUAAUGGGUCAGCGACUUAUAUUCUGUAGCAAGGUUAACCGAAUAGGGGAGCCGGAGGGUAAUAGCUCACUGGUCGAGUCGGCCUGCGCGGAAGAUGUAACGGGGCUAAACCAUGCACCGAAGCUGCGGCAGCGACACUCAGGUGUUGUUGGGUAGGGGAGCGUUCUGUAAGCCUGCGAAGGUGGCCUGUGAGGGUUGCUGGAGGUAUCAGAAGUGCGAAUGCUNGUUGGGUAGGGGAGCGUUCUGUAAGCCUGUGAAGGUGGCCUGUGAGGGUUGCUGGAGGUAUCAGAAGUGCGAAUGCUGACAUAAGUAACGAUAAAGCGGGUGAAAAGCCCGCUCGCCGGAAGACCAAGGGUUCCUGUCCAACGUUAAUCGGGGCAGGGUGAGUCGACCCCUAAGGCGAGGCCGAAAGGCGUAGUCGAUGGGAAACGGGUUAAUAUUCCCGUACUUGGUGUUACUGCGAAGGGGGGACGGAGAAGGCUAUGUUGGCCGGGCGACGGUUGUCCCGGUUUAAGCGUGUAGGUGUGUGUUCCAGGUAAAUCCGGUUCACUUUAACACUGAGGCGUGACGACGAGGCACUACGGUGCUGAAGCAACAAAUGCCCUGCUUCCAGGAAAAGCCUCUAAGCAUCAGGUAACAUCAAAUCGUACCCCAAACCGACACAGGUGGUCAGGUAGAGAAUACCAAGGCGCUUGAGAGAACUCGGGUGAAGGAACUAGGCAAAAUGGUGCCGUAACUUCGGGAGAAGGCACGCUGACACGUAGGUGAAGUGAUUUACUCACGGAGCUGAAGUCAGUCGAAGAUACCAGCUGGCUGCAACUGUUUAUUAAAAACACAGCACUGUGCAAACACGAAAGUGGACGUAUACGGUGUGACGCCUGCCCGGUGCCGGAAGGUUAAUUGAUGGGGUCAGCGCAAGCGAAGCUCCUGAUCGAAGCCCCGGUAAACGGCGGCCGUAACUAUAACGGUCCUAAGGUAGCGAAAUUCCUUGUCGGGUAAGUUCCGACCUGCACGAAUGGCGUAAUGAUGGCCAGGCUGUCUCCACCCGAGACUCAGUGAAAUUGAACUCGCUGUGAAGAUGCAGUGUACCCGCGGCAAGACGGAAAGACCCCGUGAACCUUUACUAUAGCUUGACACUGAACAUUGAGCCUUGAUGUGUAGGAUAGGUGGGAGGCUUUGAAGUGUGGACGCCAGUCUGCAUGGAGCCGACCUUGAAAUACCACCCUUUAAUGUUUGAUGUUCUAACGUGGACCCGUAAUCCGGGUUGCGGACAGUGUCUGGUGGGUAGUUUGACUGGGGCGGUCUCCUCCUAAAGAGUAACGGAGGAGCACGAAGGUUGGCUAAUCCUGGUCGGACAUCAGGAGGUUAGUGCAAUGGCAUAAGCCAGCUUGACUGCGAGCGUGACGGCGCGAGCAGGUGCGAAAGCAGGUCAUAGUGAUCCGGUGGUUCUGAAUGGAAGGGCCAUCGCUCAACGGAUAAAAGGUACUCCGGGGAUAACAGGCUGAUACCGCCCAAGAGUUCAUAUCGACGGCGGUGUUUGGCACCUCGAUGUCGGCUCAUCACAUCCUGGGGCUGAAGUAGGUCCCAAGGGUAUGGCUGUUCGCCAUUUAAAGUGGUACGCGAGCUGGGUUUAGAACGUCGUGAGACAGUUCGGUCCCUAUCUGCCGUGGGCGCUGGAGAACUGAGGGGGGCUGCUCCUAGUACGAGAGGACCGGAGUGGACGCAUCACUGGUGUUCGGGUUGUCAUGCCAAUGGCACUGCCCGGUAGCUAAAUGCGGAAGAGAUAAGUGCUGAAAGCAUCUAAGCACGAAACUUGCCCCGAGAUGAGUUCU
rnacentral:rRNA from 1 species